rnacentral:Y_RNA from 1 species
GGCUGGUCCGAAGGUAGUAAGUUAUCUCAAUUGAUUGUUCACAGUCAGUUACAGAUGGAACUCCUUGUUCUACUCUUUUCCCCUUCUCACUACUGCACUUGACUAGUCUUUA